rnacentral:rRNA from 1 species
AGCGAACGCUGGCGGCAGGCUUAACACAUGCAAGUCGAGCGGGCGUAGCAAUACGUCAGCGGCAGACGGGUGAGUAACGCGUGGGAACGUACCUUUUGGCUCGGAACAACACAGGGAAACUUGUGCUAAUACCGGAUAAGCCCUUACGGGGAAAGAUUUAUCGCCGAAAGAUCGGCCCGCGUCUGAUUAGCUAGUUGGUGAGGUAACGGCUCACCAAGGCGACGAUCAGUAGCUGGCUGAGAGGAUGAUCAGCCACAUUGGGACUGAGACACGGCCCAAACUCCUACGGGAGGCAGCAGUGGGGAAUAUUGGACAAUGGGCGAAAGCCUGACGCAGCGACGCCGCGUGAGGGAUGACGGCCU